rnacentral:rRNA from 1 species
GAAGUCCACUGAACCUUAUCAUUUAGAGGAAGGAGAAGUCGUAACAAGGUUUCCGUAGGUGAACCUGCGGAAGGAUCAUUGUCGAUGGCAAGAAACGAGGGAGACCCGCGAACACCGUGACCCGAUCGAACGGAUGGGGGGGUGGGGGACUCUGCCCCCUGCGGGGCACCGGCGCGAGGCCGCGCGUGGGCGCUCUCGGAUCCUCUCUACUCUCGCCGCGGCACCGGCGCGAGGCCGGGCGCUGAACAACCGACGCACACACGGCGAGUGGGGCCAANGACCCCGAAGAGGAGCGCGUGGGAGGAGGGCGGGCGCAAUGCCGUCCCCUCCGCCGCGAGAGGGAAAUAUAUACAGAGUUCGACGACUCUCGGCAACGGAUAUAUCGGCUCUCGCAUCGAUGAAGAACGUAGCGAAAUGCGAUACUUGGUGUGAAUUGCAGAAUCCCGCGAACCCUCGAGUCUUUGAACGCAAGUUGCGCCCHARGCCACCCGGGCGAAGGGACCCCUGCCUGGGCGUCACGCACCGCGCUGGCCCCACCCCCCCCGACGGGGGGCGACGGGCGGAGAUUGGCCGACCGUGCGCCGCGGCGCGCGGCGGGCUGAAAGCUAUAUAUCGUGGAGCUCCCCGGAGGGGCGUCGGCACGGCGUUGGGUGGUCUCGAGGGCUCCCGGAGCCGCUCCGAUCGGACGCCGCGCGCGCCGCCCGCUCCGAGGGGACGUAGGCGCCUUCCUCUCUGCGUCGCGACCCCAGGUCAGGCGGGGACACCCGCCGAGUUUAAGCAUAUAAAUAAGCGGAGGAAAA